rnacentral:rRNA from 1 species
AGAAUCAACGCUGGCGGCGUGCCUAACACAUGCAAGUCGCACGAGAAAGUGGAGCAAUCCAUGAGUAAAGUGGCGCACGGGUGAGUAACACGUGACUAACCUACCCUUGAGUGGGGAAUAACUGAGGGAAACCUUAGCUAAUACCGCAUAAUACCUACGGGUCAAAGGAGCAAUUCGCUUAAGGAGGGGGUCGCGGCAGAUUAGUUAGUUGGCGGGGUAAUGGCCCACCAAGACGAUGAUCGGUA